UACAGAGGUCCCGAGCGUUGUUCGGAUUCACUGGGCGUAAAGGGUGCGCAGGUGGCAUGGCAAGUUUGGUGUGAAAGCUUCGGGCUUAACCCGGAAAUGGCAUUGAAAACUGCUGUGCUGGAGGAUCGGAGGGGGGACUGGAAUUCUUGGUGUAGCAGUGAAAUGCGUAGAUAUCAAGAGGAACACCAGUGGCGAAGGCGAGUCCCUGGACGAUACCUGACACUGAGGCACGAAAGCCAAGGGAGCAAACAGGAUUAGAAACCCCCGUAGUCC
rnacentral:rRNA from 1 species